GAAGAGUGAGAUUAGACUGGUCAUGCAUGAAGAUGUGAAAUGCCACAGUGAGAAACUACCAAUUCAAGUGAAGGAUUCAAAGAGAUACAAUGAUGGUUGCUUGCUCUGUGUUCAAAAACUCCGAGUGGUAGGGCUGCAGGUUGAGUCACUCACUGUGGAAUGCAAGUGCCUGGUGAUUAUCCUGAUAUUUAUGGGACAGAGCAGUUCUUCCCAUCUUAACGAAAAGGUGACAAUUAUUUGUUGAAGGUUAAUCUAAAUUUUGAUGGUACGAUGUGUUAUCUCAUGUCUUGAUUGUCUAAUUUGUUCAUUUUGGGGCAAAAAGGUCAAGUUCAAUAUGUAUAAAUUUUUUUUGCAUGACUAGCCAAUGUGGCAUUACAAUGGUGGUUGUGGUUUGUCUUUCUUAGCCUUCUCAUAUGAGCUUCCAAAGAAUUGAUGCUAGGAUCAUGGAGGCAAAUUGCUACAAUAUCUGUCAAAGGUGCAUGAUCUUUCUGCUUUCUAAAUUUUGCUUAGUUCAAGCUUC